rnacentral:rRNA from 1 species
GUAAGGAAUAUUGGACAAUGGACGCAAGUCUGAUCCAGCCAUGCCGCGUGAAGGAUUAAGGUCCUCUGGAUUGUAAACUUCUUUUAUAAGGGACGAAAAAAGGCUUUUCUAAGUCGUCUGACGGUACCUUAUGAAUAAGCACCGGCUAACUCCGUGCCAGCAGCCGCGGUAAUAAGGAGGGUGCAAGCGUUAUCCGGAUUCACUGGGUUUAAAGGGUGCGUAGGCGGGCAGGUAAGUCAGUGGUGAAAUCCUAGAGCUUAACUCUAGAACUGCCAUUGAUACUAUCUGUCUUGAAUAUUGUGGAGGUAAGCGGAAUAUGUCAUGUAGCGGUGAAAUGCUUAGAUAUGACAUAGAACACCUAUUGCGAAGGCAGCUUACUACGCAUAUAUUGACGCUGAGGCACGAAAGCGUGGGGAUCAAACAGGAUUAGAAACCCUGGUAGUCC